rnacentral:rRNA from 1 species
CUACGUGCCAGCAGCCGCGGUAAUACGUAGGUGGCGAGCGUUAUCCGGAUUUACUGGGCGUAAAGGGAGCGUAGGCGGAUGAUUAAGUGGGAUGUGAAAUACCCGGGCUCAACUUGGGUGCUGCAUUCCAAACUGGUUAUCUAGAGUGCAGGAGAGGAGAGUGGAAUUCCUAGUGUAGCGGUGAAAUGCGUAGAGAUUAGGAAGAACACCAGUGGCGAAGGCGGCUCUCUGGUCUGCAACUGACGCUGAGGCUCGAAAGCAUGGGUAGCG